UACAGAGGUCUCAAGCGUUGUUCGGAUUCAUUGGGCGUAAAGGGUGUGUAGGUGGCGCCGUAAGUCGGGUGUGAAAUUUCGGAGCUUAACUCCGAAACUGCAUUCGAUACUGCGGUGCUUGAGGACUGGAGAGGAGACUGGAAUUCAUGGUGUAGCGGUGAAAUGCGUAGAUAUCGUAAGGAAGACCAGUGGCGAAGGCGAGUCUCUGGACAGUUACUGACGCUGAGGCACGAAGGCCAGGGGAGCAAACGGG
rnacentral:rRNA from 1 species